UUACUUCAUGAUUUCUUCAACUUAGAUUUUUCGUGUUUUUGUUCGUAAUCGAGUUUUUAAGAAAAACCCUGCGGCGGGCGCUCACCAACCUCAAGGGAGGCCGGUGGGGGCUGCUAGCCUCAGCGGCCCGCCGAGGCAACAAUAAGAGGUUCGUAGUCAAAAGGUUAGAGAGGACGGGCUCAAUAAACCCUUACCGCUCAGUAAUGAUCCUUCCGCAGGUUCACCUACGGAAA
rnacentral:misc_RNA from 1 species